AUCAGAGUGCGUAGCGGAAGCAUGGUGGGCUCAUAACCCACAGGUCCCAGGAUCGAAACCUGGCUUUGCUA
rnacentral:tRNA from 1 species